rnacentral:rRNA from 1 species
GAUAGGCAAAAUCCGUUGGGUCGUUAAUCUCGAGAAGCGAUGUCGAUUCAGGGUCAAACCUGGAGAAGUGGUUGGUACCACGCUGCCAAGAAAAUCUUCGUCAUGAAUGUGCAAUAUAUCCGUACCGUAAUCCGACACAGGUGGGCGAGUUGAAUAUACUAAGGCGCGCGAGAGAAUUCUGGUUAAGGAACUCGGCAAUCUACUCCCGUAACUUCGGAAGAAGGGAGGCCUCGAAGUCUAAAUCCGUACAGGGUGAGGACUACGCGAGGUUCAAAGAAAUGGGUCUCGUGACUGUUUAACAAAAACACAGGACUCUGCUGAAAUCACAAGAUGAUGUAUAGGGUCUGAUGCCUGCCCGGUGCUGGAAGGUCAAGGGGAGAUGUCAUGGGCGCAAGCCUAGAAGCAUUGAACUUAAGCCCCAGUAAACGGCGGCCGUAACUAUAACGGUCCUAAGGUAGCGAAAUUCCUUGUCGGGUAAGUUCCGACCUGCACGAAUGGCAUAACAAAGAGACCGCUGUCUCAACCAGAAACUCGGCGAAAUUGUGGUAUCCGUGAAGACGCGGAUUUCCUGCGGUUAGACGAAAAGACCCCGUGGAGCUUUACUGUAUGUUGUUAAUGCAUUGCGGAAUUGGAUGCGUAGGAUAGGUGGGAGCCCUUGAAGUCUGGAUUUUGGUCCAGAUGGAGGCGACGUUGAAAUACCACCCUCUCGGUUUUGCGAUGCUAACCUCACGCCAUUAAUCUGGCUGGGGGACAUUGACAGCUUGGCAGUUUGACUGGGGCGGUUGCCUCCUAAAGAGUAACGGAGGCGUCCAAAGGUUCGCUCAAUCCGAAUAGAAAUCGGAUGUCGAGUGCAAGGGCAGAAGCGAGCUUGACUGCGAGGAAGACAUUCCGAGCAGCUGCGAAAGCAGGGCCUAGUGAUCCGGCGGUUUGAAUGUGGAAUUGCCGUCGCUCAACGAAUAAAAGCUACCCCGGGGAUAACAGGCUUAUCGGAUCCAAGAGCCCAUAUCUACGAUCCGGUUUGGCACCUCGAUGUCGGCUCAUCACAUCCUCCCGCUGAAGUUGGUGGGAAGGGUUGGGCUGUUCGCCCAUUAAAGUGGUACGUGAGCUGGGUUCAGUACGUCGUGAGACAGUACGGUCUCUAUCUACCGUAGGCGUUGGAAUUUUGAGGGAAGCUGUCCUUAGUACGAGAGGACCGGGACGGACGCGCCUCUGGUGUACCAGUUGUCCUGCCAAGGGCAUGGCUGGGUAUCUAUUGCGCGGACGGGAUAAACGCUGAAAGCAUCUAAGCGUGAAGCCCCUCCCAAGAUUGGAAUUCCUGCCCCGUAAGGGGCCUAAAGACCUCCAGUAGACUACUGGUUUGAUAGGUCAGAAGUGGACGUGUAGUAAUACAUGGAGCUACUGAUACUAAUCGGUCGUGUAACUUAGCCGU